GAGUGGCGGACGGGUGAGUAACACGUGGGUAACCUGCCCUAAAGUGGGGGAUACAUUUGGAAACAGAUGCUAAUACCGCAUAAAACCUAACACCGCAUGGUGUAGGGUUGAAAGAUGGUUUCGGCUAUCACUUUAGGAUGGACCCGCGGUGCAUUAGUUAGUUGGUGAGGUAAAGGCUCACCAAGACCGUGAUGCAUAGCCGACCUGAGAGGGUAAUCGGCCACACUGGGACUGAGACACGGCCCAGACUCCUACGGGAGGCAGCAGUAGGGAAUCUUCCACAAUGGACGAAAGUCUGAUGGAGCAACGCCGCGUGAGUGAAGAAGGUUUUCGGAUCGUAAAACUCUGUUGUUGGAGAAGAAUGUAUCUGAUAGUAACUGAUCAGGUAGUGACGGUAUCCAACCAGAAAGCCACGGCUAACUACGUGCCAGCAGCCGCGGUAAUACGUAGGUGGCAAGCGUUGUCCGGAUUUAUUGGGCGUAAAGCGAGCGCAGGCGGUUUCUUAAGUCUGAUGUGAAAGCCUUCGGCUCAACCGAAGAAGUGCAUCGGAAACUGGGAAACUUGAGUGCAGAAGAGGACAGUGGAACUCCAUGUGUAGCGGUGAAAUGCGUAGAUAUAUGGAAGAACACCAGUGGCGAAGGCGGCUGUCUGGUCUGUAACUGACGCUGAGGCUCGAAAGCAUGGGUAGCAAACAGGAUUAGAUACCCUGGUAGUCCAUGCCGUAAACGAUGAGUGCUAGGUGUUGGAGGGUUUCCGCCCUUCAGUGCCGCAGCUAACGCAUUAAGCACUCCGCCUGGGGGAGUACGACCGCAAGGUUGAAACUCAAAGGAAUUGACGGGGGCCCGCACAAGCGGUGGAGCAUGUGGUUUAAUUCGAAGCAACGCGAAGAACCUUACCAGGUCUUGACAUCCUUUGACCACUCUAGAGAUAGAGCUUUCCCUUCGGGGACAAAGUGACAGGUGGUGCAUGGUUGUCGUCAGCUCGUGUCGUGAGAUGUUGGGUUAAGUCCCGCAACGAGCGCAACCCUUAUUACUAGUUGCCAGCAUUUAGUUGGGCACUCUAGUGAGACUGCCGGUGACAAACCGGAGGAAGGUGGGGACGACGUCAAAUCAUCAUGCCCCUUAUGACCUGGGCUACACACGUGCUACAAUGGAUGGUACAACGAGUUGCGAGACCGCGAGGUUUAGCUAAUCUCUUAAAACCAUUCUCAGUUCGGAUUGUAGGCUGCAACUCGCCUACAUGAAGCCGGAAUCGCUAGUAAUCGCGGAUCAGCAUGCCGCGGUGAAUACGUUCCCGGGCCUGUACACACCGCCCGUCACACCAUGAGAGUUUGUAACACCCAAAGCCGGUGAGGUAACCCUUCGGGGAGCCAGCCGUCUAAGG
rnacentral:rRNA from 1 species